UACGUAGGGGGCAAGCGUUGUCCGGAUUUACUGGGCGUAAAGAGCGUGUAGGCGGCCAAACAGGUCCGUUGUGAAAACUGGAGGCUUAACCUCCAGACGUCGACGGAAACCGUAUGGCUAGAGUCCGGAAGAGGAGAGUGGAAUUCCUGGUGUAGCGGUGAAAUGCGCAGAUAUCAGGAAGAACACCAAUGGCGAAGGCAGCUCUCUGGGACGGUACUGACGCUGAGACGCGAAAGCGUGGGGAGCAAACGGG
rnacentral:rRNA from 1 species